rnacentral:rRNA from 1 species
UAGGGAAUCUUCCGCAAUGGGCGAAAGCCUGACGGAGCAACGCCGCGUGAGUGAUGAAGGUCUUCGGAUCGUAAAACUCUGCUAUUAGGGAAGAACAAAUGCGUAAGUAACUAUGCACGUCUUGCCGGUACCUAAUCAGAAAGCCACGGCUAACUACGUGCCAGCAGCCGCGGUAAUACGUAGGUGGCAAGCGUUAUCCGGAAUUAUUGGGCGUAAAGCGCGCGUAGGCGGUUUUUUAAGUCUGAUGUGAAAGCCCACGGCUCAACCGUGGAGGGGCAUUGGAAACUGGAAAACUUGAGUGCAGAAGAGGAAAGUGGAAUUCCAUGUGUAGCGGUGAAAUGCGCAGAGAUAUGGAGGAACACCAGUGGCGAAGGCGACUUUCUGGUCUGUAACUGACGCUGAUGUGCGAAAGCGGGGGGAUCAAACAGG